rnacentral:rRNA from 1 species
ACUCCUACGGGAGGCAGCAGUGGGGAAUAUUGCACAAUGGGCGCAAGCCUGAUGCAGCCAUGCCGCGUGUGUGAAGAAGGCCUUCGGGUUGUAAAGCACUUUCAGUUGUGAGGAAGGUGGUGUCGUUAAUAGCGGCAUCAUUUGACGUUAGCAACAGAAGAAGCACCGGCUAACUCCGUGCCAGCAGCCGCGGUAAUACGGAGGGUGCGAGCGUUAAUCGGAAUUACUGGGCGUAAAGCGCAUGCAGGUGGUUUGUUAAGUCAGAUGUGAAAGCCCGGGGCUCAACCUCGGAACUGCAUUUGAAACUGGCAGACUAGAGUACUGUAGAGGGGGUAGAAUUUCAGGUGUAGCGGUGAAAUGCGUAGAGAUCUGAAGGAAUACCGGUGGCGAAGGCGGCCCCCUGGACAGAUACUGACACUCAGAUGCGAAAGCGUGGGGAGCAAACAGGAUUAGAUACCCUGGUAGCACAGAG